rnacentral:rRNA from 1 species
GAGUUUGAUUCUGGCUCAGGAUGAACGCUAGCGACAGGCCUAACACAUGCAAGUCGAGGGGCAUCGGGGCGAGGAGCAAUCCUUGCCGCCGGCGACCGGCGCACGGGUGAGUAACGCGUAUGCGACCUGCCCGUUGCAGGGGGAUAAUCGGGAGAAAUCCCGUCUAAUACCGCGUAACGCCGCGGGGCUGCAUGGCCCUGCGGCCAAAGGGAGCGAUUCCGGCAACGGAUGGGCAUGCGUGACAUUAGCUAGUUGGCGGGGCAACGGCCCACCAAGGCGACGAUGUCUAGGGGUUCUGAGAGGAAGGUCCCCCACACUGGUACUGAGACACGGACCAGACUCCUACGGGAGGCAGCAGUGAGGAAUAUUGGUCAAUGGGCGCGAGCCUGAACCAGCCAAGUCGCGUGAGGGAUGACGGCCCUACGGGUUGUAAACCUCUUUUGUCGGGGAGCAAAUUCCGCCACGUGUGGCGGAGUCGAGAGUACCCGAAGAAAAAGCAUCGGCUAACUCCGUGCCAGCAGCCGCGGUAAUACGGAGGAUGCGAGCGUUAUCCGGAUUUAUUGGGUUUAAAGGGUGCGUAGGCGGACUGUCAAGUCAGCGGUAAAAUACGGGGGCUCAACCUCCGCCCGCCGUUGAAACUGACGGUCUUGAGUGGGCGAGAAGUAUGCGGAAUGCGUGGUGUAGCGGUGAAAUGCAUAGAUAUCACGCAGAACUCCGAUUGCGAAGGCAGCAUACCGGCGCCCAACUGACGCUGAAGCACGAAAGCGUGGGUAUCGAACAGGAUUAGAUACCCUGGUAGUCCACGCAGUAAACGAUGAAUACUAGCUGUCCGGGGCGAAUGAGCCCUGGGUGGCACAGCGAAAGCGUUAAGUAUUCCACCUGGGGAGUACGCCGGCAACGGUGAAACUCAAAGGAAUUGACGGGGGCCCGCACAAGCGGAGGAACAUGUGGUUUAAUUCGAUGAUACGCGAGGAACCUUACCCGGGCUCAAACGACACAGGAACGUACCUGAAAGGGUUCGGCUCUACGGAGCCUGUGUCGAGGUGCUGCAUGGUUGUCGUCAGCUCGUGCCGUGAGGUGUCGGCUUAAGUGCCAUAACGAGCGCAACCCCCAUCGACAGUUGCUAACAGGUUAGGCUGAGGACUCUGUCGAGACUGCCGGCGCAAGCUGCGAGGAAGGCGGGGAUGACGUCAAAUCAGCACGGCCCUUACGUCCGGGGCGACACACGUGUUACAAUGGCAGGUACAGCGGGAAGCCACCUGGCGACAGGGAGCGGAACCCGAAAGCCUGUCUCAGUUCGGAUUGGAGUCUGCAACCCGACUCCAUGAAGCUGGAUUCGCUAGUAAUCGCGCAUCAGCCACGGCGCGGUGAAUACGUUCCCGGGCCUUGUACACACCGCCCGUCAAGCCAUGGAAGCCGGGGGUGCCUGAAGUGCGCUGCCGCGAGGAGCGCCCUAGGGUAAAACCGGUGACUGGGGCUAAGUCGUAACAAGGU